UUUGAAUGAUGAAUUAAAUUCUUUGGUCCGUGUUUAUGACGGGAAGUAAGACCCCCGGUAUGAGUGACAAAAGGAAAGUGCCUAGACAGCAUGCUUUCUGACUCU
rnacentral:snoRNA from 1 species